rnacentral:rRNA from 1 species
CCUACGGGGGGCAGCAGUGGGGAAUAUUGGACAAUGGGCGAAAGCCUGAUCCAGCCAUGCCGCGUGUGUGAAGAAGGCCUUCGGGUUGUAAAGCACUUUCAGUGGGGAAGAAAGCCUUGGGGCUAAUACCCUCGAGGAAGGACAUCACCCACAGAAGAAGCACCGGCUAACUCCGUGCCAGCAGCCGCGGUAAUACGGAGGGUGCGAGCGUUAAUCGGAAUUACUGGGCGUAAAGCGCGCGUAGGCGGUCUGAUAAGCCGGUUGUGAAAGCCCCGGGCUCAACCUGGGAACGGCAUCCGGAACUGUCAGGCUAGAGUGCAGGAGAGGAAGGUAGAAUUCCCGGUGUAGCGGUGACAUGCGUAGAGAUCGGGAGGAAUACCAGUGGCGAAGGCGGCCUUCUGGACUGACACUGACGCUGAGGUGCGAAAGCGUGGGUAGCAAACAGGAUUAGAUACCCGUGUAGUC